ACGCUGGCGGCACGCCUAACACAUGCAAGUCGAACGAAGUAGCAAUACUUAGUGGCAGACGGGUGAGUAACAUGUAGGUAUCUGCCCUUUGGCCUGGAAUAACACGAGGAAACUUGUGCUAAUACCGGAUAAGUCUUUACGGAGAAAGCUUUAUGCACCAUUGGAUGAGCCUGCACUUGAUUAGUUUGUUGGUGGGGUAAUGGCCUACCAAGACUGUGAUCAAUAGCUGAUUUGAGAGGAUGAUCAGCCACAUUGGGACUGAGACACGGCCCAAACUCCUACGGGAGGCAGCAGUGGGGAAUCUUGCACAAUGGAGGAAACUCUGAUGCAGCGAUGCCGCGUGAGUGAAGAAGGCCUUUGGGUUGUAAAGCUCUUUCGUCGGGGAAGAAAAUGACUGUACCCGAAUAAGAAGGUCCGGCUAACUUCGUGCCAGCAGCCGCGGUAAUACGAAGGGACCUAGCGUAGUUCGGAAUUACUGGGCUUAAAGAGUUCGUAGGUGGUUGAAAAAGUUAGUGGUGAAAUCCCAGAGCUUAACUCUGGAACUGCCAUUAAAACUUUUCAGCUAGAGUAUGAUAGAGGAAAGCAGAAUUUCUAGUGUAGAGGUGAAAUUCGUAGAUAUUAGAAAGAAUACCAAUUGCGAAGGCAGCUUUCUGGAUCAUUACUGACACUGAGGAACGAAAGCAUGGGUAGCGAAGAGGAUUAGAUACCCUCGUAGUCCAUGCCGUAAACGAUGUGUGUUAGACGUUGGAAAUUUAUUUUCAGUGUCGCAGCGAAAGCGAUAAACACACCGCCUGGGGAGUACGACCGCAAGGUUAAAGCUCAAAUGAAUUGACGGGGACCCGCACAAGUAGUGGAGCAUGUGGUUUAAUUCGAAGAUACGCGCAGAACCUUACCAACACUUGACAUGUUCGUCGCGACUCUAAGAGAUUAGAGUUUUCGGUUCGGCCGGACGAAACACAGGUGCUGCAUGGCUGUCGUCAGCUCGUGUCGUGAGAUGUUGGGUUAAGUCCCGCAACGAGCGCAACCCUCACUUUUAGUUGCCAGCAUUAAGUUGGGCACUCUGAAAGAACUGCCAGUGAUAAGCUGGAGGAAGGUGGGGAUGACGUCAAGUCCUCAUGGCCCUUACGUGUUGGGCUACACACGUGCUACAAUGGCAUCUACAACAGGAAGCAAAACGGCAACGUUAAGCAAAUCCCGAAAAGAUGCCUCAGUUCGGAUUGCACUCUGCAACUCGAGUGCAUGAAGCUGGAAUUACUAGUAAUCGUGGAUCAGCGUGCCACGGUGAAUGCGUUCCCGGGUCUUGUACACACC
rnacentral:rRNA from 1 species